rnacentral:rRNA from 1 species
UUAAGUCCCUGCCCUUUGUACACACCGCCCGUCGCUACUACCGAUUGAAUGGUUUAGUGAGACCUUGGGAGGGCGAGAUGAGGGGGGCAACCCCUUUUGAACAUCCAAACUUGGUCAAACUUGAUUAUUUAGAGGAAGUAAAAGUCGUAACAAGGUUUCAGUAGGUGAACCUGCGGCAGGAUCAUUA